rnacentral:rRNA from 1 species
AGAGUUUGAUCCUGGCUCAGGAUGAACGCUAGCUACAGGCUUAACACAUGCAAGUCGAGGGGCAGCAUGGUCUUAGCUUGCUAAGACUGAUGGCGACCGGCGCACGGGUGAGUAACACGUAUCCAACCUGCCGUCUACUCUUGGACAGCCUUCUGAAAGGAAGAUUAAUACAAGAUGGCAUCAUGAGUCCGCAUGUUCACAUGAUUAAAGGUAUUCCGGUAGACGAUGGGGAUGCGUUCCAUUAGAUAGUAGGCGGGGUAACGGCCCACCUAGUCUUCGAUGGAUAGGGGUUCUGAGAGGAAGGUCCCCCACAUUGGAACUGAGACACGGUCCAAACUCCUACGGGAGGCAGCAGUGAGGAAUAUUGGUCAAUGGGCGAGAGCCUGAACCAGCCAAGUAGCGUGAAGGAUGACUGCCCUAUGGGUUGUAAACUUCUUUUAUAAAGGAAUAAAGUCGGGUAUGGAUACCCGUUUGCAUGUACUUUAUGAAUAAGGAUCGGCUAACUCCGUGCCAGCAGCCGCGGUAAUACGGAGGAUCCGAGCGUUAUCCGGAUUUAUUGGGUUUAAAGGGAGCGUAGAUGGAUGUUUAAGUCAGUUGUGAAAGUUUGCGGCUCAACCGUAAAAUUGCAGUUGAUACUGGAUAUCUUGAGUGCAGUUGAGGCAGGCGGAAUUCGUGGUGUAGCGGUGAAAUGCUUAGAUAUCACGAAGAACUCCGAUUGCGAAGGCAGCCUGCUAAGCUGCAACUGACAUUGAGGCUCGAAAGUGUGGGUAUCAAACAGGAUUAGAUACCCUGGUAGUCCACACGGUAAACGAUGAAUACUCGCUGUUUGCGAUAUACAGCAAGCGGCCAAGCGAAAGCGUUAAGUAUUCCACCUGGGGAGUACGCCGGCAACGGUGAAACUCAAAGGAAUUGACGGGGGCCCGCACAAGCGGAGGAACAUGUGGUUUAAUUCGAUGAUACGCGAGGAACCUUACCCGGGCUUAAAUUGCAGAUGAAUUACGGUGAAAGCCGUAAGCCGCAAGGCAUCUGUGAAGGUGCUGCAUGGUUGUCGUCAGCUCGUGCCGUGAGGUGUCGGCUUAAGUGCCAUAACGAGCGCAACCCUUGUUGUCAGUUACUAACAGGUUCCGCUGAGGACUCUGACAAGACUGCCAUCGUAAGAUGUGAGGAAGGUGGGGAUGACGUCAAAUCAGCACGGCCCUUACGUCCGGGGCUACACACGUGUUACAAUGGGGGGUACAGAGGGCCGCUACCACGCGAGUGGAUGCCAAUCCCAAAAACCUCUCUCAGUUCGGACUGGAGUCUGCAACCCGACUCCACGAAGCUGGAUUCGCUAGUAAUCGCGCAUCAGCCACGGCGCGGUGAAUACGUUCCCGGGCCUUGUACACACCGCCCGUCAAGCCAUGGGAGCCGGGGGUACCUGAAGUGCGUAACCGCGAGGAGCGCCCUAGGGUAAAACUGGUGACUGGGGCUAAGUCGUAACAAGGUAGCCGUACCGGAAGGUGCGGCUG